UGAAAAGAACUUUGGAGAGAGAGUUAAAAGCACGUGAAACCGUUGAAAGGGAAACGCGCUCGGCUAGCAAUGCACGCCUGUGGUUCAGCCGGCUAAUCUUGCGAGUUGACGUGUGGCGGAUCCGAAUGGACCGUCCGCGUCGGCAUCGCAGGGCGAGCUGUGGUGCACUCCAUGGACGUGCGCGUCAGCGUCGGUUCUAGACGAGCGAUGAGGUGCCGGAGGAAGGUAGCUCGGUUCUUCGGAUCCGAGUGUUAAGACUCUGGUGCUGGGUUCGUCGUGGGACCGAGGAGAGAGAUGAUCGCUGCGGCACCUGCCUCUCGGGGCUAGCCAGCUGCUGUUAGAUGUGUGUCAGGCGUCGAGGACUGCACGCAGUGCUUGAUGUUGAGGCGUGGUCUAGUGGUGGUGUGGGCAUAGAGGUGCCUAGGACGCUGGCGUCCAAAUGGCCGUGCGCGACCCGUCUUGAAAACACGGAA
rnacentral:rRNA from 1 species